UACGGAGGGGGCUAGCGUUGUUCGGAAUCAUUGGGCGUAAAGGGCGCGUAGGCGGCCGAUCAAGUCGGAGGUGAAAUCCCUCGGCUCAACUGAGGAAUUGCCUUCGAUACUGUUCGGCUUGAGUCCUGGAGAGGGUAGCGGAAUUCCCGGUGUAGCGGUGAAAUGCGUAGAGACCGGGAAGAACACCAGUGGCGAAGGCGGCUACCUGGACAGGUACUGACGGCGAAG
rnacentral:rRNA from 1 species